CGGUCUCCCAGAAGCAUUAUCGAAGACCUGGGCUCAAACCAUUUCGAGGCUCCUUUGGGAACCUGUUGCAUAUCCCCUACGUGCCAAACUUGCCGCUGACCUACUGAUGUAAGCCGCAGUUAGAGCUACAGUAAAAAUGCCGUCUGUCCAAGGAAAAUCUCCGUUAGCAUAUACGGAAGGAUCUGUGCUCUGAUCUCAGCGACAUCACAUGUGGAGAUUCACCGUGGGACUUCAUCCUGUUUGUCUAUACUGCAAAGCCACCAAAUAACCUGGUAAAWAAAUUAGAGGGAGGUGUUACAAGUCCCCGAAGAUGGGUGGUUGGAGCUACAGAGACCCUCUCUCCACCUACAUGUUUGUCCUGUAGCAGCUUAGUUUAUGCUUAUAAUACCUCUCUCACAAAAGGGUUCACCAACAAACUGAUAAAUGCCGCCACCAAAAUGCUUUGAGGAAACAAAAUAUGUUAACUACGUGUACAAACCAUUGUCAAUAAAAUC
rnacentral:lncRNA from 1 species